GACGAACGCUGGCGGCGUGCUUAACACAUGCAAGUCGAGCGGGAACCUCGGGAGGGGUAACCCUUCCGAGGGGAGAGCGGCGAACGGGUGAGUAUCACGUGGGCAACCUGCCCCGGACACCGGGAUAACCCAGGGAAACCUGAGCUAAUACCGGAUACUCCGGCACGAUCACAUGGUCGUGCCGGGAAAGCUCCGACGGUCCGGGAUGGGCCCGCGGCCUAUCAGCUUGUUGGUGGGGUAACGCCCACCAAGGCGACGACGGGUAGCUGGUCUGAGAGGACGGCCAGCCACACUGGGACUGAGACACGGCCCAGACUCCUACGGGAGGCAGCAGUGGGGAAUCUUGUCCAAUGGCGAAAGCCUGAGACAGCGACGCCGCGUGGGGAUGAAGGCCUCGGUCGUAACCC
rnacentral:rRNA from 1 species